CAGUCGAACGCACAGCGAAAGGUGCUUGCACCUUUCAAGUGAGUGGCGAACGGGUGAGUAACACGUGGACAACCUGCCUCAAGGCUGGGGAUAACAUUUGGAAACAGAUGCUAAUACCGAAUGAAACUUAGUGUCGCAUGACACGAAGUUAAAAGGCGCUUUGGCGUCACCUAGAGAUGGAUCCGCGGUGCAUUAGUUAGUUGGUGGGGUAAAGGCCUACCAAGACAAUGAUGCAUAGCCGAGUUGAGAGACUGAUCGGCCACAUUGGGACUGAGACACGGCCCAAACUCCUACGGGAGGCUGCAGUAGGGAAUCUUCCACAAUGGGCGAAAGCCUGAUGGAGCAACGCCGCGUGUGUGAUGAAGGCUUUCGGGUCGUAAAGCACUGUUGUAUGGGAAGAACAGCUAGAAUAGGGAAUGAUUUUAGUUUGACGGUACCAUACCAGAAAGGGACGGCUAAAUACGUGCCAGCAGCCGCGGUAAUACGUAUGUCCCGAGCGUUAUCCGGAUUUAUUGGGCGUAAAGCGAGCGCAGACGGUUGAUUAAGUCUGAUGUGAAAGCCCGGAGCUCAACUCCGGAAUGGCAUUGGAAACUGGUUAACUUGAGUGCAGUAGAGGUAAGUGGAACUCCAUGUGUAGCGGUGGAAUGCGUAGAUAUAUGGAAGAACACCAGUGGCGAAGGCGGCUUACUGGACUGUAACUGACGUUGAGGCUCGAAAGUGUGGGUAGCAAACAGGAUUAGAUACCCUGGUAGUCCACACCGUAAACGAUGAACACUAGGUGUUAGGAGGUUUCCGCCUCUUAGUGCCGAAGCUAACGCAUUAAGUGUUCCG
rnacentral:rRNA from 1 species